GAAGCUCGCCAGACCGCCGCUGGUGCAAGUGCCGAAAGGCCGCACUGGAGGAACGUCCGGACUGCACAGGACAGCGCAGGAGUUAACGACUCUCCACCGUGAGGUGAGGAUCAGAGCAACAGAGACGAGCCGAUUCAGUUCGGGUGAAACGGGCAAUCUCUGCGCGCAGCAACACCAAGUAGGCCAGUAUUGAGGUGGUUCCGCUGAGCUGGCGGGUAGGUGGCAUCGAGCCGUUUGGCGACAAACGGCCCAGAGUAAUGGCGGUCACGCCGGGAUCUUCGCAAGAGGGUUCCGGUGCACAGAAUCCGGCUUAUCGGCGAGCUUCACAU
rnacentral:RNase_P_RNA from 1 species